rnacentral:rRNA from 1 species
UGCUAGGGCCUAAAUAGCCUAAAGUCACCAGAUCCCAUCUGAUCUUUGAAGCUAAGAUAUUGUCAAUCCUGGUUAAUACUUGGGUGGGUGACUACCAACAAAUUUCAAGUGCUGUAGACU